rnacentral:sRNA from 1 species
UACUGAUUGGAAUUAGACCUACAUAAGC